UGCUUUUCUGGUUUCUGUUUUUGGUCAGGUAAGAUAAUCCAAAGUGCAAAAUUACUCAGUUGGCUUGGUUCUGUGGCUUAGUUGGAGGGCUGCAAUGCUAUAUAUACACACAGAUUCAGAUUGUAGUGCAUCAGUUUGGUUCUAAGAAUUAAAAGAGUCAAAAGUGGAAAUGAAUAGAAGAAGCAUUGGAACUGCCAGAAUACUAUUGACUGUUUGUUCAUUGAACUUGAGUUUUCCAAUUACCGUGAUAGGAUUGGGAUUUGAAUACUUGGAUGAAGUAUCGUGUUUCCAAUCCAAGUAUGUGGUUUCCUUUCUGACGGAAUGUCUAAUUACGAAAAGGAUGGCAUUUCCCAACAACAAUUGUACAAUAAAGAAAGCUUGAACGUCAUCGAAAGUCCUGCAAACUACAUUAUAAUUUCUUGCUCAAAUAUCCGAUACCUCAAUCAACAAGGGAUUUUGAUCCAAAAAAAGAGGAAAUAAAGAAAGGAACUACGAGGCCCAAAUAGAAUCAACGCAAACGAUUUGGGCCCGCAAAAGAAGAAUAUGAAGGCCCAGAGAUCUUCGACCAAAUAGCUUGAUGGUAGCCUAGAUGAAAACAUUAGUGACAUGAAGGGACAUGGAAAAUGGGGGCAGCGGAUCCGCUCCCGAGGUUGAUCACUAUUUUUCAAAGCAAAAUUUUCAUAUGGAAGCUCUAGUCUCUCUGUUAAAGUUAAUAAAACGUCAUGAAAGAAAAUCAUAUUCUAAUACUAAUGUCAUUGGUGACGAAGCCGGGAGAGAAAUUUCAACGUGAAGUCACUAUCAUAUUUGCCCUUUGGAUUGUAGUAACUAGCAGGACAAACUAACAAACAGAAGCAACAUGACCAGAUUGGUUUUCUCUGGACUUUUUUUCUAAACAAUCAGGAGCAAGAAAAGCUUUAAAAACUUGGUAGGGUUCAUUCAGAGAAAGAGAUAGAGAUAGCCGCAGAGAGAAACAAUACCCCCAAAAUGACUACUUUGGGAGGCCUAAUAAUCAUUCCUUCAAGCUUUCUGUGUCUGCUCCUUGUCUUAGCUUUCAUCAAGAUCCUUCACAAACUAUGGUGGACUCCGAUUCGCAUACAGAAGCUGAUGGCUUUGCAGGGGAUCAAAGGCCCUUCUUACAGAUUCAUCUAUGGAAAUACCAAAGAAAUCUCCAACAUGAAAAAGGAAGUCAUGGGCAGGCCUCACAUUUUAUCACACGACAUAUUUUCUGUAGUUCAACCUCACGUUCACUCGUGGACCAACAUAUAUGGGAAGAAUUAUCUUCAAUGGCAUGGUUCUCGAGCUCAGUUGGUCAUAACAGAACCUGAGUUGUGCAAAGAGAUACUAAAUAACAAAGGCAGAGCUUAUCCGAAAAGAGAGCCCCCAAACAUUUCAAAGAAGCUAUUUGGAGAUGGCCUUGUGGCAACAAACAAAGCUGAAAAAUGGGCAAAAUUGCGAAAGCUGGCCACCCACGCUUUCCAUGGAGAGAGUUUAAAAAGUAUGAUCCCAGAUAUGGUAGCCAGUGCCCAGAAGAUGGUAGAAAGGUGGAAAGUUUAUGAAGGAAAAGAGAUUGAGGUGUUUGAAGAGUUCAGAUUGUUCACUUCGGAAGUGAUUUCAAGAACAGCAUUUGGCAGCAGCUAUUCAGAAGGACAGGACAUAUUUGAAAUGUUGAGGAAGUUAGGCUUCCUAAUAUUCAAAAAUAUUCUCAAAGUCAGGGUUCCUGUCAUCAGUAAGCUCUUCAAAACCAGCGACGAGAUCGAAUCGGAAAAACUUGAGAAAGGAAUCCAUGCCUCCAUAAUAGAGAUGGUUAAGAAAAGAGAAAAGAAGAAAAUGACUGGAGAAAACGACAGCUUUGGGAGUGAUUUUCUUGGAUUGCUUUUGAAGGCUAAUCAUGAAACCAAUGAGAACCAGAGGAUUUGGUGCAGGAGAUAAUUGAUGAGUGCAAGACGUUUUACUUUGCCGGACAAGAAACCACUAAUACUUUGCUUUGUUGGACUGUCUUUCUUCUGGCACUCCAUACGGAUUGGCAAGAGGAAGCAAGAAAGGAGGUGCUACAAUUAUUUGGCAAACAAACUCCAAAUCUUGAUGGCAUUGGCAAACUGACAACAAUGAGUAUGAUCAUCAAUGAGACUCUAAGGUUAUAUCCCCCUGCUGUUCACGUUGUAAGGAGAGUCGAAAGGGAAAUUAGACUAGGAAAGCUGAUUGUUCCUAGUAACCUUGAAUUGGAUGUCUCAAUCGUAGCACUUCACCAUGAUCCUCAAAUCUGGGGAGAAGAUGUGCAACUUUUCAAACCAGAGAGAUUCUCGGAAGGGGUUGCCAAAGCAACCAACAAUCAUGUAGGCGCAUUCAUACCCUUUUCAAUGGGACCUCGAACUUGUGUGGGCUUAAACUUUGCGAUAACAGAAGUGAAGAUUGCUUUGUCGAUGAUUCUACAACGUUACACCUUCACCCUUUCCCCGGGUUAUGUCCACUCGCCCUUACAUCUUCUUACAGUUCGUCCACAACAUGGAGUGCAGGUAAGGCUACAACCACUUUGAACUGCGAAGAUCAGAUCAGUUGCCCGUGAUUCUUGUACUUGGUGCAUAAAGUGGACAUAACCCAUGUUGUGCCUAUGAAUGUUGCACUUUGAGACAAGACAGACAAGGAGCUUACUUGUCAAUUAUCCUUUCAAGUUUACGAAGCGAUUGUUCUCUUUAGUUUUGCAGUAUUUUGCUGAGCCCAAAGUUUUCCUGUUUGUUUUUGUUUUUUGGGUAGAAUAAAAUCUUAUGCUUACAGUUGUAAUAAACAUUUUCAGUUUAUGGUAAAAGAAUUUUGAAAAAA